rnacentral:tRNA from 1 species
GAAGGUAUAGCUCAUUGGUAGAGUGUGUGCUCAGUAUUCCUGGGUUCAAUUCCCAGUACCUCCA